CACGUAGUUAGCCGGUGCUUAUUCUUACGGUACCGUCAUGACCCCCCUGUAUUAGAAGAAGGCUUUUCGUUCCGUACAAAAGCAGUUUACAACCCGAAGGCCUUCAUCCUGCACGCGGCAUGGCUGGAUCAGGCUUGCGCCCAUUGUCCAAAAUUCCCCACUGCUGCCUCCCGUAGGAGUCUGGGCCGUGUCUCAGUCCCAGUGUGGCUGGUCGUCCUCUCAGACCAGCUACAGAUCGUAGGCUUGGUAAGCCUUUACCCCACCAACUACCUAAUCUGCCAUCGGCCGCUCCGUUCGCGCAAGGCCUUGCGGUCCCCUGCUUUCAUCCAUAGAUCUUAUGCGGUAUUAGCAAGCUUUCGCCUCGUUAUCCCCCACGACUCGGGCACGUUCCGAUGUAUUACUCACCCGUUCGCCACUCGUCAGCAUCCGAAGACCUGUUACCGUCGACUUGCAUGUGUAAGCAUGCCGCAGCGUUCAAUCUGAGCCAGGAUCAAACUCUCG
rnacentral:rRNA from 1 species